AUAUCGUGAUGAGGAAAUUUUCUCAACAACUCCUUAAACCUUUCCUAAGAGUCAUAUAAAUAUUCCCCAUCUAACUGAUAGAAGUUAUUAAUCUCUCCCCUCAAUUU